rnacentral:rRNA from 1 species
CUACGGGCGGCUGCAGUAGGGAAUUUUCGGCAAUGGGCGCAAGCCUGACCGAGCAACGCCGCGUGAGUGAUUAAGGCCUUCGGGUUGUAAAGCUCUGUUGUAAGGGAAGAACAUUCAGGAUAGGAAAUGAUCUUGAACUGACGGUACCUUACCAGAAAGCCACGGCUAACUACGUGCCAGCAGCCGCGGUAAUACGUAGGUGGCAAGCGUUAUCCGGAAUUAUUGGGCGUAAAGGGUGCGUAGGCGGUUUAUUAAGUCUAUGGUGAAAGUGCGGGGCUCAACCCCGUAUGGCCAUAGAAACUGGUAGACUUGAGUGCAGGAGAGGGCAAUGGAAUUCCAUGUGUAGCGGUAAAAUGCGUAGAUAUAUUGAGGAACACCAGUGGCGAAGGCGGCUAACUGGACCGGAACUGACGCUGAGGCACGAAAGCGUGGGGAGCAAACAGGAUUAGAUACCCGCGUAGUC